rnacentral:rRNA from 1 species
AUUGAACGCUGGCGGCAUGCCUUACACAUGCAAGUCGAACGGCAGCACAGGAGAGCUUGCUCUCUGGGUGGCGAGUGGCGGACGGGUGAGGAAUACAUCGGAAUCUACCUUUUCGUGGGGGAUAACGUAGGGAAACUUACGCUAAUACCGCAUACGACCUACGGGUGAAAGUGGGGGACCGCAAGGCCUCACGCGAUUAGAUGAGCCGAUGUCCGAUUAGCUAGUUGGCGGGGUAAUGGCCCACCAAGGCGACGAUCGGUAGCUGGUCUGAGAGGAUGAUCAGCCACACUGGAACUGAGACACGGUCCAGACUCCUACGGGAGGCAGCAGUGGGGAAGAUUGGACAAUGGGCGAAAGCCUGAUCCAGCCAUACCGCGUGGGUGAAGAAGGCCUUCGGGUUGUAAAGCCCUUUUGUUGGGAAAGAAAUCCUGUCGAUUAAUACUCGGUGGGGAUGACGGUACCCAAAGAAUAAGCACCGGCUAACUUCGUGCCAGCAGCCGCCGUAACAC